rnacentral:rRNA from 1 species
AGAUUGAACGCUGGCGGCGUGCCUAACACAUGCAAGUCGAGCGGUAACAGGUGUAGCAAUACAUGCUGACGAGCGGCGAACGGGUGAGUAAUGCUUUGGAAUCUUCCCAGUAGUGGGGAAUAACCAGUCGAAAGAUUGGCUAAUACCGCAUACGUCUGUAAAGGGAAAGCGGGGGCUCGUAAGACCUCGCGCUAUUGGAUGAGCCAAAGUCGGAUUAGCUAGUUGGUGGGGUAAUGGCCUACCAAGGCGACAAUCCGUAGCUGGUCUGAGAGGACGACCAGCCACACCGGAACUGAGACACGGUCCGGACUCCUACGGGAGGCAGCAGUGGGGAAUAUUGGACAAUGGGGGAAACCCUGAUCCAGCGACGCCGCGUGUGUGAGAAGGCCUGCGGUUGUAAAGCACUUUUAGUGGGGACAAAAGCUACGGAUUAAUACUCUGUGGUCUUGAUUUAACCCAAAGAAAAGCACCGGCUAACUCUGUGCCAGCAGCCGC